CCUACGGGAGGCAGCAGUGAGGAAUAUUGGUCAAUGGGCGGGAGCCUGAACCAGCCAAGUCGCGUGAGGGAAGACGGUCCUAUGGAUUGUAAACCUCUUUAGGCGGGGAGCAAUGCCGGGCACGCGUGCCCGGAGGGAGAGUACCCGCAGAAUAAGCAUCGGCUAACUCCGUGCCAGCAGCCGCGGUAAUACGGAGGAUGCGAGCGUUAUCCGGAUUUAUUGGGUUUAAAGGGUGCGUAGGCGGCUUUUUAAGUCAGCGGUAAAAUGUCCGGGCUCAACCCGGGCCGGCCGUUGAAACUGGGGAUCUUGGGUGGGCGAGAAGUAAGCGGAAUGCGUGGGGGAGCGGUGAAAAGCAUAGAUAUCACGGAGGACUCCGAUUGCGGAGG
rnacentral:rRNA from 1 species